rnacentral:rRNA from 1 species
UAGGGAAUCUUCCACAAUGGACGCAAGUCUGAUGGAGCAACGCCGCGUGAGUGAAGAAGGUUUUCGGAUCGUAAAGCUCUGUUGUUGGUGAAGAAGGAUAGAGGCAGUAACUGGUCUUUAUUUGACGGUAAUCAACCAGAAAGUCACGGCUAACUACGUGCCAGCAGCCGCGGUAAUACGUAGGUGGCAAGCGUUGUUCGGAUUUAUUGGGCGUAAAGCGAGCGCAGGCGGAAUGAUAAGUCUGAUGUGAAAGCCCACGGCUCAACCGUGGAACUGCAUCGGAAACUGUCAUUCUUGAGUGCAGAAGAGGAGAGUGGAAUUCCAUGUGUAGCGGUGGAAUGCGUAGAUAUAUGGAAGAACACCAGUGGCGAAGGCGGCUCUCUGGUCUGCAACUGACGCUGAGGCUCGAAAGCAUGGGUAGCGAACAGG